rnacentral:lncRNA from 1 species
AUCUUUCGAUGUCUGUAAACGUCGAGUUUUCUCCCAUUCAUCCGUUGAUGUCUGGUCGAGUCCUCCCAUUCAUCAGUAAAUGUCUGGCUACCUCUCCGUUGGUUUCGAUAAACGUCGAGUUUUUCCUGGUCGUCCCCAGUUGGUUACCUCUCCGUUGGUCUUGGUAAACGUUGAGUUUUUCCCAUUUCGUCCGUUGACGGAUGGUUGUAUCCCUCCCAUUCAUC